CAGUCGCCACGGGAAUACGGAGGGUGCAAGCGUUAAUCGGAAUUACUGGGCGUAAAGCGCACGCAGGCGGUCUGUCAAGUCGGAUGUGAAAUCCCCGGGCUCAACCCGGGAACUGCAUUUGAAACUGUCAGGCUGGAGUCUUGUAGAGGGGGGUGGAAUUCCAGGUGUAGCGGUGAAAUGCGUAGAGAUCUGGAGGAAUACCGGUGGCGAAGGCGGCCCCCUGGACAAAGACUGACGCUCAGGUGCGAAAGCGUGGGGAGCAAACAGGAUUAGAGACCCGUGUAGUCCCUGUCUCUUAUAC
rnacentral:rRNA from 1 species